AAAAAUUCCAGUUCUUACAUUGAUGAUAUAAUUGUAUAUAAGGGGAAUUUUCAUGCUGUUGAUCGAUAUGGUGAGACCAUGAAAUUUGAUUCCUCGUUUAGUGAGACGACGGUGGCUUCCAGAUUUUAUGGUGAGACCACGAAAAUUGAUUCCUCGUUUGAUGAGGAGGUGGCUUCCAGAUUAUCCGGUGGUAAGAAGAAGAAACGACUGGUGGAAUCAGGAGGGCAGUUGUUUUUGGUUGAUAAAAGUUCAGAUUUCGGCAAGGAUGCCAGCCAUGAAAUUAAAAUUUACCGAUUGGAUGAAAAACAAUAUGAGUGGAUUGAAGUGCAUACUUUGG
rnacentral:misc_RNA from 1 species